rnacentral:rRNA from 1 species
GACGAACGCUGGCGGCGUGCUUAACACAUGCAAGUCGAACGGAAAGGCCCUGCUUUUGUGGGGUGCUCGAGUGGCGAACGGGUGAGUAACACGUGAGUAACCUGCCCUUGACUUUGGGAUAACUUCAGGAAACUGGGGCUAAUACCGGAUAGGAGCUCCUGCUGCAUGGUGGGGGUUGGAAAGUUUCGGCGGUUGGGGAUGGACUCGCGGCUUAUCAGCUUGUUGGUGGGGUAGUGGCUUACCAAGGCUUUGACGGGUAGCCGGCCUGAGAGGGUGACCGGCCACAUGGGGAUUGAGAGAGGCCCAAGACCCCGAGGGGGGGCAGAGGGGGGGAUUAUGGCACAAGGGGGGGAAGCCGGAGGCAGCACCGCCGGGGGGGGGAGGGGGGCCUUGGGUUUGUAACCCGCUUUCGCCUGUGACAAAGGGGGGGGGAGGGUAAGGGAUAAAGAACCACCGGCUAACUACGUC